GACGUAGGGUGCGAGCGUUGUCCGGAUUUAUUGGGCGUAAAGAGCUCGUAGGCGGCUCGUCGCGUCGACCGUGAAAACCCGCGGCUUAACUGCGGGCUUGCGGUUGAUACGGGCGGGCUAGAGUUCGGUAGGGGAGACUGGAAUUCCUGGUGUAGCGGUGAAAUGCGCAGAUAUCAGGAGGAACACCGGUGGCGAAGGCGGAUCUCUGGGCCAUUACUGACGCUGAGACGCGAAAGCGUGGGGAGCGAACAGG
rnacentral:rRNA from 1 species